UUCCACAAUAGCUUAUUUUUUCUUAAAAAUAUUUACAAAAAUUAAAAUUAAAAUACUUUGUCUAAAAUAUUAAAGUUAUUAAAAACUUGCAUUAUCCUACAUAUCAGGUCAACAGUCUUGUUCCCAUCUGCUUGAAAAUGUUAUAACUGCAACUGUGCCAUAUCCAAUUGGAAAAAUUUUACGUAAAGCAUUAUCCAGAGCGGGGAUUGGCAAAAUAGGUGCUUUUUCGCACAUCAGCUCCUCAUUAUUAUACUAUUUAUGCACGCAUAAAAAAUGGAAAUUUGCCCAUGAGUAUCACUGAGUACUGUCCGAGUCAAGUUUAAACGGCGUGCCGCAUUGUGACACUUCAGAUGGUACAGUACCUCACAAAAUUAGGAGAAUAACCAUCGAUGAAAUUUUAUUCUGAUGUCCUCGCCGGAUUCGAAUCCAGACGUUCAUGGUCAUAGGCGGACAUGCUUACCUCUGCGCUACGGUGGCCUCCACGCAUACAUAACACGCAUAAUAAAAAUUUGCCUGGACUUGAUUUUCAGUAGAAUUAGAUGUUGGUCUGAAAUGUCUUACCUUUCUUCCUGAAUAUAAUGUAAUCUUAAUGAUAAGAUAGUUGAUUAAACUUUUAUCAUCAAUAAUCA